rnacentral:rRNA from 1 species
UGCAAGUCGAGCGGACAGAUGGGAGCUUGCUCCCUGAUGUUAGCGGCGGACGGGUGAGUAACACGUGGGUAACCUGCCUGUAAGACUGGGAUAACUCCGGGAAACCGGGGCUAAUACCGGAUGCUUGUUUGAACCGCAUGGUUCAAACAUAAAAGGUGGCUUCGGCUACCACUUACAGAUGGACCCGCGGCGCAUUAGCUAGUUGGUGAGGUAAUGGCUCACCAAGGCAACGAUGCGUAGCCGACCUGAGAGGGUGAUCGGCCACACUGGGACUGAGACACGGCCCAGACUCCUACGGGAGGCAGCAGUAGGGAAUCUUCCGCAAUGGACGAAAGUCUGACGGAGCAACGCCGCGUGAGUGAUGAAGGUUUUCGGAUCGUAAAGCUCUGUUGUUAGGGAAGAACAAGUGCCGUUCAAAUAGGGCGGCACCUUGACGGUACCUAACCAGAAAGCCACGGCUAACUACGUGCCAGCAGCCGCGGUAAUACGUAGGUGGCAAGCGUUGUCCGGAAUUAUUGGGCGUAAAGGGCUCGCAGGCGGUUUCUUAAGUCUGAUGUGAAAGCCCCCGGCUCAACCGGGGAGGGUCAUUGGAAACUGGGGAACUUGAGUGCAGAAGAGGAGAGUGGAAUUCCACGUGUAGCGGUGAAAUGCGUAGAGAUGUGGAGGAACACCAGUGGCGAAGGCGACUCUCUGGUCUGUAACUGACGCUGAGGAGCGAAAGCGUGGGGAGCG